UACAGAGGGUGCGAGCGUUGUCCGGAUUUACUGGGCGUAAAGGGCGCGUAGGCGGUCGUGACAAGUCACUUGUGAAAUCUCCGGGCUUAACUCGGAACGGUCAAGUGAUACUGUCGGACUAGAGUACAGAAGGGGCAACUGGAAUUCUCGGUGUAGCGGUGAAAUGCGUAGAUAUCGAGAGGAACACCUGCGGCGAAGGCGGGUUGCUGGGCUGAUACUGACGCUGAGGCGCGAAAGUGUGGGGAGCGAACAGG
rnacentral:rRNA from 1 species